rnacentral:lncRNA from 1 species
UCAUUUUUAAAUUUCAAUUUUGUAAUCUAUGUAAAAUGACAAUCUUGUUUUUGCCUUUUGGUUUACAGAUAUCUGUUAUAAAAAUGAUGAUUGACCACUACCUUGAAAUAUUUGGAAAUGAUAAUCUAUUUUCUAAACAUAUUGACGAAAGGUCUGAUGAUCUAAAGAUGUAUAUAGAUUUAAUCUUCUCUAAGGGCAAAUCUCCUAUUAUGAAAAAAGUCAUAGUUGGCCCCAAUGGGACAACCUGCAGUAAUGAUGAAAAAGUAAAUAUUUCAAAUGCUGCUCUGCAGGAAGAAUUUCCUACAGGUUCAGAGAAACAUGAACACGAUGUAUCUACCAUUCCCUCAGUACUGUCUCCAAAUCGACUACGACCUAGGAAGAAAAGUUUGUUUGGCCAACCUCUUACAAGUAUUUUUGAAGACAAUAAGCUGCCUACUUCAAUACUAGACAUGAUAUCUAUAAUUGCAGCAAAAGGACAAAGUUCUGAUCAAUUAUUCAGAACUAUAUCUGAAAAUUCCCAGUGUUCCCUGAGGGACAAGAUUGACACAGAACAACCUAUCAACUGGAAUGACGAAUGUGUGCUGGUUGUAGCUUCAGUCUUAAAGGUAGGGAAGGGUUUUACAUCUCCAACAUUACACAUCCCACUAGAGAUGCAUACAUGCUUUCUGUCCUAGAGUUUACAUGAAAAUGACUUUUCCUGGAACUGUGGACACAUGAUCUCCUGGUAAGAGGCAUGGCAGUUAAAAGUCUGAGAAACCCAUAGAUUCAUCACAAAGACCCCGGUGAACAGCUUCUGUUGAGAGUGAACUUCCUCGUAUAUCAAAGGGGGUUUAGUUUGGCGUUAUAAAUGUUCAAACUGAUUUCACCUCUAACCAUACCAUGUGAUGUAAUAGCUGAACAAGUAAUAAUAGUGAUUAAAGGGUGUUUUACAAUAUACAUAUUUUAAGUGAUACCAAGACAUAUCACUCCCAAUUAACAGUUCAAAAUAGCUAGUCCACCACUGACAUACAAAAGGAUAAAGAAUUUGGAUAUUGCCCCAUGUCCAGUAGAUACAUGAAGUUGUUUUCCUUCUCAAUCAAAAAAAACACAAGCACUUUCACUUUUGCCAGAUGUUGACAUUCUACUUCCAUGUCAAAUAGUCAAGAAUUAGCCUAACCGACAUUUAACUUGUCUACACUCUUAACUUGCCAGUGAGCUGCAGUGAAUCUAGAGCAAAUAUCAUUGUUUUAUUUUUGUUUGGGC